rnacentral:rRNA from 1 species
UAAAUAACCGCAGUACCUUGACUGUGCAAAGGUAGCAUAAUCAGUUGGGUCAUAAUUGGAGUUUGGCAUGAAAGGAAGCAUGAGUAAAUGCUGUCUGGCGGUUGCCAUUAAAAAUUAUUUAGUAAGUGAAAAUGCUUACAUUGAGUUAUUAGACGAGAAGACCCUAGAAAUUUUGUGUAACGUGAGGGUGCUCCUCCCUUUUAUUUUGCUGGGGCGGCAAAACAACACUUAACUUGUUUUAUUAAAAUUUGCAUUUACUGGUAAGUAAAAAUAAAUUACUCUAGGGAUAACAGCAUAAUUCGUUGUUGAGUUUGUGACCUCGAUGUUGGACUAGGGCCUUUAGUGGUCAAAAGUUACUAAAGCUGGCUCUGU